CAGGCAACAAUUUUCGAGCAGCGUCCUCGGCCAUCAUCAGCAGCGGUCCUGAACAGGGCCAAGCGGGCUCAAGGUCCAUCCCUGCACGUCCUGCUAACAGUGUCUCUGUGUUACCUGACAGCAGCCAUCUCCUCCUCAGUGAACUGACGACCCGCCGCAUCACUCAGCAGCCAAACUAACAGGGUCACACACACGGGAGCGGGAUACAGGAAAUUGAAUAAAACACAAAGAAGUGAAGAAAAACACACGAGCACAGCCGCAACACACAUCAAAUGAACAGAGAGCAAACAACGAUGGACGUAGUUCUUCUGCUCAUCAUGGCUGCACCAGG